rnacentral:rRNA from 1 species
UACGUAGGGGGCAAGCGUUGUCCGGAAUCAUUGGGCGUAAAAGAGCGUGUAGGCGGUUCGGUAAGUCGGCUGUGAAAGUCCAGGGCUCAACCCUGGGAUGCCGGUCGAUACUGCCGGACUAGAGUUCGGAAGAGGCGAGUGGAAUUCCCGGUGUAGCGGUGAAAUGCGCAGAUAUCGGGAGGAACACCUAUGGCGAAGGCAGCUCGCUGGGGACGUUACUGACGCUGAG